GAGUUCAGGAUGGAGCAGUUUGUAAAGGGAGAAAAAGUCUGACUUUCCUCUCCUCCACAACAUCUCCACUACAUGCUGUUAUUAAUUACAGCACUUUCUCUUUUAGUUCUUGAUCAUUAAAUUAAACUGGACGGAGUGCGAUUAAAAUAAUUCCGUUUCCAACUCGUCAAAGACUCGGUUCAAAGUGUCGGUUCAAAGAGUCGGUUCAAAGAGUCGAGUAAGUUUUCCGAAAGUGAAAGUGUUUCUCAGCCUCGACUCCAUUAUUAAGGAGCGGUUAGAAAAAACACAACGAUGUUCAACAGCAGUCAGAAGCGGUGAGAUUCAUGUCCAACAACAAGCAGUGGUGAAGAAAAGUGGGAAUGUGAUUGAUUCCAGCAGAAGAGAUCGACAUCUUCAGGACUCUGCGUGUACACGAGCAUCGAAAAAUGGAGAUCCCUGAUCAGGGGACAGAUCAUGUGACCUCACCCUCAAAAGACUGUAAACUACAGAGAGAGAAAUCACACUCACCAGUGCCCAGCUGUGUCUCCAUGAAGAGUGAUGUGUCUAUGGAUGUUCCUCAGAGAUUUAGCACUGGAAUCUCCUCACCUGGACACAGGUAACAUCCCAUAAUUCUCCUAGUUAAAGUCACAGUUAAUGGCUGCACUACACCGUCAU